AGCCCUGUAGUUCAACGGAUAGAAUUAGCGUUUCCUAAACGCUCGAUCCAGGUUCGAUUCCUGGCAGGGCUACCA
rnacentral:tRNA from 1 species